GUGCGGAGGAUGCGCGCGACGGACUUGCCGGCGGCGAUGUUGGCCUUCUGCGCGUCGAGCCCCUGCAGGCGCGACUUCUUCUCCUGCUCCCGGAGGAUGAUGAAGGGCCGGCCGUACUCGUCGAAGGCGAGCGCCAUGGCGGCCGGAGCGCUGGCGCUGCCCCUCCCAGGUGCUUCCGGAAGGGCGGAUCGGACGAGGACGAGGAGGGGUGCUGUGGUGGGAGGGAAUGAGGCGGCGGUAUGUUUCUGGGGGGAGGGAGGAGGCGCCGCGGGGGCGAGGGUUUGUGGUGCUUUCUUCUUCGUGC
rnacentral:rRNA from 1 species